rnacentral:tRNA from 1 species
GGAUUAGUGUGUUACUCCCCAGACUGUCUGUUUUACAGGCAGAAAAUCCUGGGCUCGAAUCCCAGCUCACCCG